rnacentral:rRNA from 1 species
UACGUAGGGGGCAAGCGUUAUCCGGAUUCACUGGGUGUAAAGGGAGCGUAGACGGCGACGCAAGUCUGGAGUGAAAGCCCGGGGCCCAACCCCGGGACUGCUCUGGAAACUGCGGCGCUGGAGUACGGGAGGGGCAGGCGGAAUUCCUGGUGUAGCGGUGAAAUGCGUAGAUAUCAGGAGGAACACCAGUGGCGAAGGCGAUUCUCUGGACUGUAACUGACGCUGAGGCUUGAAAGCGUGGGGAGCAAACAGG